GCCCUCCUCUGGACCCUGUCCAACAGCUCCCUGUCUUUCUUGUACUGGGGGCAUGUAAGAUAUUAUUCUGUUAACGUCUGUGUCUCAAAGCUUGCUGGGGACACAGAUGGACUUGUUCAAGUCCCGGCAAGUCCUGGGCAAAGGUUGUGAGAUCCUUUGCCUGGGGGACGCAGAUGGACAAGGCCAGGGGCAAGGAGAGCGAGAUGAGCUGCAGCUAAAUAGCUGUGAAGUGCUCCUUUGUGUGGACUUAUCUCAGGAUGAUGGCCAUCUCAGGGGGUACUCAAUGACUCUUGCUCAAGGCCCAUCCUUGCAGGAGAACAAGGAGGAUAAAAGAGGAACUGAAAACCAUGAGGAUAGGUUUCUGGCAGCAGAUUCCUCAUGAAGCAGAACAGAGGUUUCUGGCAGCACAUUCCUCAUGAGGAAGAGGGAUUCCUGACGAUCAGAUUCCUCGUGAGGUGACUCCUUCAUGCUGUUGAACUCUCCUGUGCCUGCUGCCGGAGCGCUGCUGCUGCUUCAAGGACUGGCUCUGCGACUUCCCCGUCUACCUGCUUGCUGCCCAAGGCCGGCCACGCUGCUGCUUCUCGCCCCCCGCU